GAAUCCUCUCUUGUAACUAUUGCAAAAAUGUUUCUUUUUUCUUUAUUUAUUUUAGAUCUUAGAGCAGUAUUGUUUUUUCUUCCGGGGAGAAUGGGACCGUUACUGGCCUCUCUUUGACGGCUUUGCCAUCACUGGCACUCUUAAGUCUUGUCACCAGAUUCUCUAUCAUCCUCACCGGUAACCCCUUUCCUCUCUUAUGAUCUUAAACAUGACCUAUAUUAAUCUUUGUUUCAAUUAAGCUAUUUUACUUAAUCGAUUACAAUUAUGUGGAGCAAAAUAAAUAUAAAUGUCAUAAAAUCUGAUUAUUAGUGAUUUGGGUAUAAAUAACUGAAGAGUAAUGUAGUUAAAAUUUCUACAGAAUCAACUAGAUAUUUGUGUUUUUGCAGAGUAGGAUGCGAAGAAUUCCCCAUCUGUGCAGAGGCACAAGAAAUGACAACAACAAUAUCAAUUGAAGAUGUUCAUUGGGAGGUGAAAUAUGGAAAGCAUUAUUGGGGCAUACGAAUAUGAUCAAAUUCCAUGAUGCUUUUGAGGAUGAAAACAAUGUAUAUGUUGUCAUGGAAUUAUGUGAAGAUGGAGAACACUGGACAAGAUUUUAUCAAGGUAUUAAAGUAAAAAUGAAAGUUGCUCAUCUCUAGUGCUAGAAAAACAAACCUAGAACUAACCCUCGCUACAUUCUAAUAAUGCUUACCAUAUCUUCACGGGUGAAUUUGGAAAUGUGCUCUCCUGGUGCCAGAUCAAUGCUCUCUUUGAAGAUUUUUUGUUCGAGUCACUUUAUGGUUAUAUAGAUUAGUUACUUGUGGAAAAUCAGGCUUUGUUUAGUUAAAACGAUCUCAUUGCAUGCCCCACUGCUGCUGGCCCCUGCAAUGUAACAUGCAAGUGUGGAAAUAGAUGCACCUUAUUGUUCUAUGUCCUAUUAGCAAUCAUUUUCUUCUAUGUUCUAUUGUUCAACAGAAAACUUGAUUUGAAAGGCUAAGUUGUGUAGGUAGAAAAAACAUACAAUGGAUUUGGGUCUGUGAAAUCAAAACUCUUUAUGUUUCAUUGUUUCCUUUGAA